CAACUACUCCCUCUGUCCCAAAUUUCUUGUCUUAGAUUUGUCUAGAUACGGAUGUAUCUAAUACUAAAAUGUGACUUGAUGCAUCCAUAUCUAGACAAAUCUAAGACAAGAAUUCUGGGAUGGAGGGAGUACUUU
rfam:Triticum aestivum genome assembly, contig: Triticum_aestivum_CS42_TGACv1_scaffold_097331_2AL